GACGCACGCUGGCGGCGUGCCUAAUACAUGCAAGUCGAACGAGCGGCGGACGGGUGAGUAAUGUAUGGGGAUCUGCCCGAUAGAGGGGGAUAACUACUGGAAACGGUGGCUAAUACCGCAUACUAUCGGAUGAACCCAUAUGGGAUUAGUUAGUAGGUGGGGUAAAGGCUCACCUAGGCGACGAUCUCUAGCUGGUCUGAGAGGAUGAUCGGCCACACGGGGACUGGACCACGGCCCGUGCUCCUACGGGAGGCAGCAGAGGGGAAUUUUGCACACUGGGGGCAAGCCUUCUGCAACCAUGCCGCGUGUAUGAAAAAGGCCUUAGGGUUGUAAAGUACUUUCACCGGGGAGACGUUACCCGCAGAAGAAGCACCGGCUAACUCCGUGCCAGCAGCCGCGGUAAUAC
rnacentral:rRNA from 1 species